ACAAUCAGCUGUUUUGUACGUUCUACAUUCUGAUCCGAGGAUCAGCUGGAGGAAGCAAUAACAGAGGGAAAAUCUGCAGGGGAAAAAAUCGAGCAAGAGGGAAAAAACUGCAGAUGUUAUACUCUGAACAUCAGGUGUAAAUUCAAGUUUUACACGAAGCCCCUUCUUCUACGAAGAAAGCCUUUUUUUUAUUUUGUAUUAUGGUGUUUUAACUACCUCACUUAAAAGGCAACCUAAAGCUAUGCUUUAAGAAUUAUUGUCGUUUCUACUUUGUGUGAGAUCAUCACGUUUACAAUUUGAAAUAUAUUGCUAAUACAGCGUGAGACUCCUGUGUCCUCCUGUCGGCUCCUGGUGUCAGUGUCACCAUGGCAACCGUCCAAAUAAGCAGGAAGUGUCGCUUUCCACCCAUGCACUCCAGGCCCUGAUUACGACCCGAGUUAAGCGUGCGUAAAUUGAACUUUACUCUCUAUGCAUAUUCUGACCUUGAACUUAAGCAUGGGUCUAGCGAACCUGCCAGUUCCAGGUGGAAAAAACGUG
ensembl:lncRNA